UCUUCUUCCUUUGCAGAGUUGA
rnacentral:miRNA from 1 species